rnacentral:lncRNA from 10 species
ACUCAGCCUGGAGACCGAAGCGCUUCACUGAGCGCUCGCCGCCGCCCAGCCUCUCCUCUCGCGCCUCCUAGCUCUUCGCAGAGCAACCAGGAGCCAGGAGUGGUCUAGAGCCCGAGGGUGGGAAGGGGGAGUCUGUCUGGCUUUUCUCCUAUCUUGCUUCUUUUUCCUCUUCCCUUCCCACUCAUUCCUGUAGUCAAAAUCUGGUCAUGUUGGUCAAAAGCUGGAUUAUUUAGAUCUAGAAACAGAUCUUGAAAUCUGAAUGCUCUGGUUUGAGCAAUUUUCGAACAUUCUUUGCCUGGUGCACUGUGUCUGUGGUGCCAGAGGCGUCCGUGGAUCCAGAGGUGGUUAUGACUCGUGCUGCAUGCCUGGUCUUUCCUCUGUUUCUCCUUCUGAAAGUUUUCUAUACCUGUCUCCUUUCUCAGCCACAAAAUAAAUGUUGGGAGAAAUGAUAUAUACCACUUUCCCAGAAAAAAAAAAACUUACACUUGGGACUUGGCAAAUUCCUAGUCACAAUUUUUUUCAGCAGUAACAGGAAACCACUUAUCACAUGGAGACCUAAUGUAAUAAUAGAAAAAUACUCAUAAUAGGGAGAAACCAAGAGAAGUUUUGUUUUUGUUUUUUUCCAACUGUGUUCAUUAGAACAGCGUGUUCUAAGUAUUUGAAACUGAAUGUUUAUUCCUUGAUACUAAAAGUUCUUCUCCAAUCCUAUCACUGAUAGUGUCCAAAUUCUCACCAAAUUGCUCCUAAGCUUCAAAUCAGAAGCAGAAACUGGCAGGCCAUGGACCUUAAUUGUCCCUCAGGUAGAUUUUGUUUGGUAUGCAGAAUGUUUUUAAAAUAUGAGUGGUUAUUGAAAAUAUGAUGUUUCACAUAAAACCUCAUUCUCGGACCCAUCUUUGCUCAUGGCAACAGUUAGCUGGAGCUGAGUAGCAGCUGCCUGAUUAGAUGACUCUCAGUCCCCAUGGCACCCUGCUCCAUGUUACCUAGAGCAGGCACUUGAUUCCUUGCUGGGCAGUAUCCAAUAGGCAUUUGAUUUUGCCCACUCCUACACUAAGCGAAUGUGUACAAAGUGUAAAUGCAUUAGGAAAAACAAACUACCCGCAUCUUCUGUUAGGCAGGAUCUGUACAAUAAUAAUUAUGAGUUUGCUUAUGUAAUCUCACCUCACCUGGAUGAUCACUAAUACUAAUUCAUUUAUUACUAACCUUCUGGCUUCCUUCUCUCAAUAUGCUUACAAAGUCUCCAGUCACCUACAAUGCUGGCUUUCUCCCACUGAGUUUGCUGUUUGCAAUUUUUCCAUGAAGUUUGAACUUCAUAAGGUAAUUCAUGGCAUUGAACUGGUUCAUGAAAAGAACACUAGAGUCUGUCAUUUGCUUUGGCUUGAAGUAUGGUUGGUAACACAAAUUUUCACCUGCUCUUCUACCAUUUGAAUUUGUGUAGAGGGUGUUUGCAGAGCAAUGCCCGUAAUGCUUAGAGAAUGUUCUCCUAAAAGACUUGCGGAAUCACUCUGUCCUUGGAAGUUUCAUAUAUUGUUUGAUAUGAAGUGUUAGAUAGAAUUUCCAAUAUUGGAGCAUAUCAAAAAGUAUUAAAACUAAAAAGGACCAGAGAAUUCUUAGAUUGGCCCGGAAAGGCCAAUAAAGAGUUAGAAUGAAAACUCAUUACUUUUCCAUUCCCAAUCUAGUGCUAGAUGUAUAAAUCUUUCUUUUGAUUCUUCCUAACAAAAUAUUUUCUGGGUUAAAACCCCAGCCAACUCAUUGGGUUGUAGCCAAAGGUUCACUCUCAAGAAGCUUUAAUAUUUAAAUAAAAUCAUAUUGAAUGUUUCCAACCUGGAGUAUAAUAUUCAGAUAUAAAACAGUUUUGUCAGUCUUUCUUAGUGCCUGUGUGGAUUUUUGUGAAAAUGUCAAAGAGAAAACUUAUAUACUAUUUCCCUUGAAAUUUUAAACUAUAUUUUCUUUACAGGUAUUUAUAAUAUACCAAUGCUUUUAUCAAACAGAAUUUUAAAGAGCAUAAUAAAUUAUAUUAAAGAACCAAAAGUUUUCCUGAGAAUAAGAAAGUUUCACCCAAUAAAAUAUUUUUGAAAGGCAUGUUCCUCUGUCAAUGAAAAAAAGUACAUGUAUGUGUUGUGAUAUUAAAAGUGACAUUUGUCUAAUAGCCUAAUACAACAUGUAGCUGAGUUUAACAUGUGUGGUCUUGGUAUUCUUAAGGGAACUUCCACAUUAUACAUUUGAUGUAUUGACCAGAAUAUGUAAAAUAUGCUUAUAAAUCAGAAAAAUAAAUUGUUUCUCACUAAGUCAAAAGAAAAAAAGCUCAUGUUUCCACCAC